CAGCGCCGGCCACCGCCUCCCACCACACAGGCCCCGCCGCCGCGCCGGACGGCUACAGAACCACCGGCCUCGUGCUGCCGCCUGGCUGGCCUUCUCGAAGCCCGGCGAGUCCAUGCUCCCCUCCCGGGACCGGCGCCUCCACCCGGCCUCCUCCCUAGCCGGCCCGCUGGAUGGUCGCGCCGCCCGAGAACCGCCUCCGAGCGCGUCGCCAGGUCACCGCCUCCCACCCCUCCGUCGGGCCACCACCCACCGCGCCGCACGACCACCACCGGCCCACCGCGCGACGCUGUUCUGGCCAUCUUCCUCCCCGCCACCACUCUAGAUCGGGCAGUAACUGCGUUUCUCUUGUCGGAUCCAGUCGCCGUUCAGCCAGAUCCGCCGCCCGGCGUGCUAUCCCCGGACACGCGCAGCGGUGGCGCUGGUACUGCGCGGGCGAGGGAGAGGGAGGAACUCCACCUCGACGCCGCUGCCUCUGCCCUCCCCCGGCCUCGUCGACCAUCCCCUUGCCUUGAUCUGCGUCGCUGAUGAGGAACAUGCAGUACGGUGCGGGCAGUUCGGCCAUUGUGGCAGUGCAGCUCAGAGGCGCGCGUAAUGCCGUUCAGUGCUCGCGCGGGUGCAGCCUUGGGAGGAGAGCGUGGAGUCGCCGGGCAUGACCUCAGCCCCCAAGCAGUGCGGACGGUGAGCACGUGCAGCCUGGUGAGCGCGUGCGUGCAGUGCACUGAGUGUGGGCUUCCGCUUCCUCUUCCCUCUUCCGGAUCUACCACCGCGAGACGCCGCUGGGUUUGGAAUAGUUGUCCAUCAGUACGUCAAUACAGGAGGAGGCAUGUGCACUCCUCGCCUCCACAUCUCCACCACCGUCCGACGACCUGGUCACACUACCCCGCUCGCCUCCUCACUAUUCGACGACCUCUGUACUGUCGUCCAGUCCCGGCGGCCCCUGACCGAUGAGCUCACCAGUGCCUCCUAUCCUCCCUCCGAGGCGACCUGGCCAGGGACGAGAUCUCGUUGGGUCCUCUCCUCCCACAGCUUCCGUCCGCCUCUGGCGUGCUACACUAAUUUUUCAGUUCCAGCGACGUUGUGGAUUGGGUGCUCACCCGAUGCGAUUCAGUUUUUUCCGCUCACUCUUUUUUCUUCUGGAAAUCAUUUGCAGUGCACUCAGUAAGAAAAAGAAGAGAGCAUCGAUGUUCAUUUGAAGUUUGUUUUGUUGUUUAUGGGAAACGCAGAGAGAAAAGGGUAGUAAGAAUGGAUGGUCACUUUGUAUAAGCAAGUCAUUGCCUAGUGCAGUUCUGUUGGGUACCGCAUCGUUGAUUCUGCUGUGUUCUAGA